ACACAUUCAUUUGGAUUUUAAAAAAUCAAACAGAAGUGAGAGUUUUAAGAGCAGAAUUAUUUUUCAAAGGGAAAUAGAAGGGUAUGGCUUUGAUGGAACGAGUGCCUUCAAGCUCCACUGGCAGGCACUGUUUGAAAACUAUUUGGGUGAUUUUUGAUAAGAAAUGAAAGAUGCAACAGCAGGAAGCCAUUCAGC